rnacentral:rRNA from 1 species
UACGUAGGGACCAAGCGUUGUUCGGAUUUACUGGGCGUAAAGGGCGCGUAGGCGGCAAAUUAAGUCAUCUGUGAAUCUCCGAGCUUAACUCGGAACGGUCAGGUGAUACUGCUUUGCUAGAGUGCAGAAGGGGCAAUCGGAAUUCUUGGUGUAGCGGUGAAAUGCGUAGAUAUCAAGAGGAACACCUGAGGUGAAGACGGGUUGCUGGGCUGACACUGACGCUGAGGCGCGAAAGCCAGGGAGCAAACAGG